UGGUGGAGUGAUUUGUCUGGUUAAUUCCGAUAACGAACGAGACCUUAACCUGCUAAAUAGACCAGCCGGCUUUGGCUAGCUGCUGUCUUCUUAGAGGGACUAUCAGCGUUUAGCUGAUGGAAGUUUGAGGCAAUAACA
rnacentral:rRNA from 1 species